GGAUUAUUGUCAUUUAAUUGCUUUUUUAUCAUUUGUUUUUUUCUCAUAUUUGACUUUUUAUGUUCAACAUGUUAUUUUCUGUUGUGAUGUCUAAAGUCUAUGCAAACGACUUUACUCUUGUAAAGCACCUGAGGCAUCAAGGAGCUGAGUCCUCCGGUUGUAUGUAGUUAGCGUAAUGGGUCGGUCCUGUCAGGCUUUGGCAGAGCUCGGACCCACAUGCACAGCACAGAGACCACAGGCAGAACGUAGGUUUAAACGGUUUAUUCAGAAUCAGACAAUCCGGGUCAUGCACAGUUGAUAACGGGGCUUCGGUACCGGUGGGGCAGGCGGGUUCGGAUCCGGGGGCAGGCAGAGUUGAUAACGGGGCUUCGGUACCGGUGGGGCAGGCGGGUUCGGAUCCGGGGGCAGGCAGAGGUUCGGUAACGGAAGAUCGCAGAAUUACGGUACCGUGAGGGAGCAGGCUGUCUCGUCGUCGGGCGGUCAGGUUCGUUAUCCAGGAGCAAUCCAAGCAGCAGUACAGAUCAGGGAGUCGGCAGGAAUCAGAGGUCAGAAACGGAACAGAGUCAAGGCACAUGAACAGAGUAACUAAUUGCUGGAAAGUGUAGUCUGGCUUACAACGAUCUGGCAAGGUAUCCUGGGGCUGAGGGUGCUUAAGAACGCUGAGGAUAAUUACUGAUGUGGACCAGGUGAGGCUAAUGACGACCGGAAGUAAAGCUUGAACUCAGGUAGGUGGCAGGAAACCGGAAGUAUAAUGCAGUAACGCAGGAUGUGACUCAUAGAUGUGACAGGUCCUCACCGCUCAUAGCUGUGACUGCGAAAGGUGCUUCCAACCUCUGGACCGGCUCCAAGAACUCUGCAACCCUUGGAGGUGACGAAUCAAUGGACGGGUGGAGAAUACCUGCAUGGGCCUGAAAGGUGCAAUAUGGAGAGGCUUAAUUCAAUUCAUCCCAGAUGUGUGACAGUGAGGGGCUAAUGUGCCGCCUUUCUAUCCGCCAGGCCGUUCAGUUACAGGCCUUAGGUUUGCUCCAGACAGCUUAGAGGAUUUAAGGCGCUUGCAGAAAAGCAAACAUCCUGAUGAUUUGUUUGGGAGUCACCUGGAUGAAGCACGGCUGUAAAUGCCAGCAAUGCGUCACCGCUGCCUCAGAUCGCGGAGCAGCAUCAGACGGGCCGACGUGAGAAGCCAUCAAACAGACCUUCAGCCUCCCUGCUAAAAGUGAUGCGGCUCGAACAUAAAGAGCCUCCGACACGGAAAAACCUGCAAAUAAUAAAUAAAAGGCUGAGAGAUGAUUUAAAAAUGGC
rnacentral:lncRNA from 1 species